AGAAUCUUGGGCAAUGCGCGAAAGCGUGACCCAGCAAUGCCGCGUGCGCGAUGAAGGUCUUCGGAUUGUAAAGCGCUGUCAACCGGGACGAAAAAUGACGGUACCGGUGGAGGAAGCCACGGCUAACUACGUGCCAGCAGCCGCGGUAAUACGUAGGUGGCGAGCGUUGUUCGGAUUUAUUGGGCGUAAAGGGUCUGUAGGAGGUUCGUUAAAUGCGGGGUGAAAUCCGGGGGCUCAACUCCCGAACUGCCCUGUAGACUGAUGGACUAGGGUACUGGAGAGGUAAGCGGAAUACCAAGUGUAGCGGUGGAAUGCGUAGAUAUUUGGUAGAACACCGAGAGCGAAGGCAGCUUACUGGACUUUGACCGACUCUGAAAGACGAAAGCGUGGGGAGCAAACA
rnacentral:rRNA from 1 species